GCAGGAUAGUAUGUCGCUGGGUUUCCACAUUCUACUCUCCGUUCUACUGCUGACACAAGGUGUGUAUAGUUCACGGAAGCUUCCGGGUAGCAUGCCGUUCGCUACUGAAGGUCCUGGUGGAAAGACACCGAGUGAGCACACCCGCGGUGGCAAAUAGGAAGACAGAUCGAGGUUGGUUGGGAGACGACAGGAAGUCCUACUUCCAGUGUUUGUGUUGUCCGUGAUGCAUAAAGGUUUUCACCGAGGCUUCUAUGGCUAAAAGUGGGCACGUCUAACCGCAAGCAAAAAUGUGUGGCUAGAUACUUCCAUGCCACUGUUGUGGAAGAGGGAGGUGUGUAAUGUACUUUCUUUGUUAUUGAAGUGCUCAUGACAGCAGUUGAACAUGUGGAUUAGGCCAAAAACACAAAGAUCGUCUCCAUAUAUGUUAAGGGUGUGUCCCAAUAUGAUUAGAAGCGACAGAGGGAAGGAGAACUUUGUUGUCGGCCAAAUGCAAAUCGCAUAUCAGGUGCGGCAACUUGGAGAGCAAGCAUGGCAAGCCUUCAGAAUGGGGACAUCAGUGCACAACCAGGUAGUGGUUUUUUUUUUUUUUUUUUUUUUUUUUUUUU